rnacentral:rRNA from 1 species
ACAUGCAAGUCGAACGAAGUAGCAAUACUUAGUGGCAGACGGGUGAGUAACAUGUAGGUAUCUACCCUUUGGCCUGGAAUAACACGAGGAAACUUGUGCUAAUACCGGAUAAGUCUUUACGGAGAAAGCUUUAUGCACCAUUGGAUGAGCCUGCACUUGAUUAGUUUGUUGGUGGGGUAAUGGCCUACCAAGACAAUGAUCAAUAGCUGAUUUGAGAGGAUGAUCAGCCACAUUGGGACUGAGACACGGCCCAAACUCCUACGGGAGGCAGCAGUAGGGAAUCUUGCACAAUGGAGGAAACUCUGAUGCAGCGAUGCCGCGUGAGUGAAGAAGGCCUUUGGGUUGUAAAGCUCUUUCGUCGGGGAAGAAAAUGACUGUACCCGAAUAAGAAGGUCCGG